CGGCGGACGGGUGAGUAACGCGUGGACAACCUGCCCUAUGCAGGGGGAUAACAUCCGGAAACGGGUGCUAAUACCGCAUAAGCGCACAGUACCGCAUGGUACAGUGUGAAAAGCUGAGGCGGCAUAGGAUGGGUCCGCGUUGGAUUAGGCAGUUGGCGGGGUAACGGCCCAUCAAACCGACGAUCCAUAGCCGGCCUGAGAGGGUGGACGGCCACAUUGGGACUGAGACACGGCCCAGACUCCUACGGGAGGCAGCAG
rnacentral:rRNA from 1 species